GCUCCAAUAGCGUAUAUUAAUGUUGCUGCAGUUAAAAAGCUCGUAGUUGGAUUUCUGACCAGGAGCGCCUGGCCGUGACCGAAAGGUUCAUGAGCGCCGGAGCGCUUCGGUCAUCCGUCUAGAGACCUUUACUGCCUUAAUUGGGUUGGUGAAUGGAAUCUAGGCCAUUUACUUUGAAGAAAAUAGAGUGUUCAAGCAGG
rnacentral:rRNA from 1 species